rnacentral:rRNA from 1 species
GACAGAGGGGGCAAGCGUUGCUCGGAAUCACUGGGCGUAAAGGGCGCGUAGGCGGGAUGGCAAGUCAGUCGUGAAAUCUCUCGGCUCAACCGAGAAGCGUCGGCUGAUACUGCCGUUCUUGAGGGAUGCAGAGGAGACUGGAAUUCCCGGUGUAGCGGUGAAAUGUGUAGAGAUCGGGAGGAACACCGGUGGCGAAGGCGGGUCUCUGAGCAUUUCCUGACGCUGAGGCGCGAAAGCGUGGGGAGCAAACGGG